rnacentral:rRNA from 1 species
UACGAAGGGGGCUAGCGUUGCUCGGAAUCACUGGGCGUAAAGGGUGCGUAGGCGGGUCUUUUAAGUCAGGGGUGAAAUCCUGGAGCUCAACUCCAGAACUGCCUUUGAUACUGAGGAUCUUGAGUUCGGGAGAGGUGAGUGGAACUGCGAGUGUAGAGGUGAAAUUCGUAGAUAUUCGCAAGAACACCAGUGGCGAAGGCGGCUCACUGGCCCGAUACUGACGCUGAGGCACGAAAGCGUGGGUAGCAAACAGG